AAUUUCACUUCUAAUGACUCAAUGAAAGUGUAUAAAGGUUUAAAAUUAUGAGCUAGCUUUUACAUUAGAAUCUAGGUUAUCUCCUUAGUUCUGUGACCUCUGUAUAGCAACAUUCCAUUAAAGUCGUUUGAAGAUUUUAUUUUGUCAAGGAAACAUUAACAUUGAACAAAAUGAGGCUGUUCCUAUUUCUUAGUCUUCUGGCAUUCCUUGCUUGUGUAGCAGUCAUUGAAGGCUUACCCUUAGCAAGUAGUCUAUGUCUACAGCCAGUCUUUUGCUUUGUUGAUCCUUGCAUGGUAGCAAAUUGUCCAGGCACUUGUGUUCAAACCUGUGCAUGUGGACAUACCUGUCUGUAAAACAAAGAGCAGUUGGUGACAUUUCUAAGCAACAGUUCAAAUGCCGAAUUGACUAAACAAAGCUUUAUUUCAUUAAAAAAAUAUUGUUCAAAUAUUUGUUUUUAGACUUUGUAAAACAACAUUUGUUUUUUUUUGUGUUGGUCUUGUUUCAUAUUUUUAGCGGCCUCCGAAAGGCGAAAAGACGCUAUAACUUUGGUGUGCCCUAUCUGUCAGUCCGUCUGUCUGUCCGUCCGUCCCGUUUAGAUCUCAGAAACUAGAAAAGAAAAUGAAAAUCGAACAUCAUGAUAUUUUAGAUCAUUCAAAGUUCUGAUGCAACGGCUACUUUUUUCUUUUCCUUAAGUGAACAAUCUAAUUUUUUAAAUUAUAUAUGCAAGCAGUUUUUUCAAAAAAUUACACCACAUUUCUAUGAAAAAAACUUGCAGGGUAGGUAACAUUUUUUAAAAAGUCAUGGACUUCUUAAUUAAUAACUCAAGCUUCAUUCCUAGAUUCGCGCAUUGGUACAAAAAAAUUUGCAUCUAAAAAAUCAAUGGAUCAUUAUAAAAUAUAUUUUCCAUUUAUUAACUAACUCAUUGAAUAGAAUACUGAUUCAAAUGUUGUUUUUAAAAAAGAAUUUUGAUACGAACUUCGUUUUAGUUAUAAGUUUAAAAAAAUAAUGAACUACUUUUAUAGCACGCAGUUUUGAGCUGUCCUCAUUAUAGGGGCCUACAUUUGACAGCUAUAGUCUAAAUAAGACUAAAUAGAGCCCAGAUCUAGAUAUAUUAAUACAAUUUUAAUUAUUAAGGCAAUAACUUAUCUUCUGACAACUUAGGAGGGCAGAUUUAUUUAUUAUGGAAACAGUAGUGUUACAUUAAGCAAUGAAUCGGAUACACCAUUACCUAGUAACAAAAGGCCUACUAUUCUUGAUCAUAACAUUGGCCUAGGUCUAUUACUUUUAAGAUUAAACGUGUAAAUUAUACAAGUUGUAGUCUAGAUAAAGUAGAUUCUAUAUCAAGAUUCUAUAUCUAGUUCUAGAUCUAGACUUAGAUCUAUUUCUAGAUCUAGACUUAGAUCUAGUUCUAGACCUAGACUUGGAUUUUAAAUUUAGAUUUAGAACUAGAACUAGGUCUAGAUCUAGCUAGAACUAUGUCUUGUUUGUAUGACAAAUGACAAUGUUAAUAUUUAUUUUUAUUUGCAAGGGGAAAGUCUUGUUAAGCCAUUUGUACACAACUGUAGAUCUCCUUAUCUUAUAUGAUACAGACGUUACUUAAAAAAAAAGAUGAUUAGGCCCUACGUCCUAAGCGUCAUGCAUUUAGUUAUGCAUAUUAACCAAUUACUUAAAUUCUGCCAACUCACUGGUUUUCCUAGCUAGCUCAGGCUACCCAAUUCCAUGCUCUAAUAGCACUAGGGAAGAAAGAGCGUUUGUACACAUUUGUCCUAGCAUAUGGAACGAGGAAUGUGCCUGUAUCUUUGUGUCUUUCUGAGUAUUUUAUUAAAUUUUGUUUUCGUUUUUGAA